rnacentral:rRNA from 1 species
GGGAUAACACUUGGAAACAGGUGCUAAUACCGCAUAACCAUAGUUACCGCAUGGUAACUAUGUAAAAGGUGGCUAUGCUACCGCUUUUGGAUGGGCCCGCGGCGCAUUAGCUAGUUGGUGGGGUAAAGGCUUACCAAGGCAAUGAUGCGUAGCCGAACUGAGAGGUUGAUCGGCCACAUUGGGACUGAGACACGGCCCAAACUCCUACGGGAGGCAGCAGUAGGGAAUCUUCCACAAUGGGCGAAAGCCUGAUGGAGCAACGCCGCGUGGGUGAAGAAGGUCUUCGGAUCGUAAAACCCUGUUGUUAGAGAAGAAAGUGCGUGAGAGUAACUGUUCACGUUUCGGCGGUAUCUAACCAGAAAGCCACGGCUAACUACGUGCCAGCAGCCGCGGUAAUACGUAGGUGGCAAGCGUUAUCCGGAUUUAUUGGGCGUAAAGGGAACGCAGGCGGUCUUUUAAGUCUGAUGUGAAAGCCUUCGGCUUAACCGGAGUAGUGCAUUGGAAACUGGGAGACUUGAGUGCAGAAGAGGAGAGUGGAACUCCAUGUGUAGCGGUGAAAUGCGUAGAUAUAUGGAAGAACACCAGUGGCGAAAGCGGCUCUCUGGUCUGUAACUGACGCUGAGGUUCGAAAGCGUGGGUAGCAAACAGGAUUAGAUACCCUGGUAGUCCACGCCGUAAAC